rnacentral:lncRNA from 1 species
CUAAAAUAAGAGAGGAGUUCCAAUUUCCAAAUAUGUUAAACAAUAGAGUUACAAUCAGAUAUAUGUUUGAUCCAAUUGAAAGUGUUUAAACUAAUAUCAUCAACCAUAAUCAUGAUCGUCCGUUUUUUGUUUCAGAAAACAAUCGCAUUCUUGUCCUUCCAUAUCAUCCGGAGAGUGGUGUAGACUAAAGAAAAACGCAGCUUCUUGAUUUUUUUUACUCCCCACAUCAGAUUUAAACAUAUUCAAUAAGUCAUCACAGGAAUUAGGCAGCCUCAUAAGAAAUGAAGACGAGGUCACCACACCAGCUAUGUCCACAGAACCGCAGCGAAAGAAGAAUAGGAGAAAAAAACAUGAUCAAUGCUCUCAUUAGUUUCUUUGCAAAAAGGACAUAAGGUAGACGAGACAUUAAUUCCAUAUAUAACUAAGCUUAAGAAAGUAGGAAUUAUGUUUUUAGUCAAUCUCCAAACAAAAUAGUUGAAUUUUAAAGGGACCGAUUUUACCUAAUUGAAAGAAUCCAAAGUCUUAUUACUAGACUGAAUUGUCAUCACCUUUCUUAAAGCUUUUACCGAAAACACAUCUCCACCGUCGCCUCCCCAAAUCCACUUGUAACAGUUGUCAUCAAACCUGAAAACAAUGAUCUGAUCCGCUAAUGCCUGAAACUAACGUGUUUCCCUCCUACCUCUAAGUUGUCUCGCCCAGUCCCAAGAAAAGGACGAAAUAUGCACAUUCAUAAUAUUGACUCUCUUCCAAAAUACAUUCUUUCUUUUUCUCAAUUGCAUAAAAGUUUGGAUGAGCAUCUUUUAAAGUUAUAUCACGACACCAAUGAUCCUUCCAAAAGAGUGUUUUGUCGCUGUUUCCAACAACUCUUUUAAAAAAAUUAUCAAUAUAGAUACCACUUUCAAAAUCACAGUUGAUUUGAGAAAUACUUAAUCAAACACCUUUGAUAGACUUAUUGGUUAUCAAUCUACCAUCAAUAAGCUUAAUAUUAUAAAUAACUUUUAUAUGAGAAAACCAAAAAAUAAUCAUACCCAUUUUUCAAUCUUCACCACCACUUGGCGAAAAGUGUCAAGUUAGCCGAAUAAAGACACCCAACUCCAAGACCUCCCAACGCCUUUAGUUUAAUAACCACCUCCCAAGUCACCCAAUUGAUUUUCCUCUUGUCUUCACCUCCCAUAGAAGUUGUCUCCUAAUGUCUUCCAACACAUUAACAAAUUUUUUUGGGGGGUGGGGAGGGGGGGCAAAAAGGAGAGAAAAUAUAUAAAGGAAGGCUCUUAAGGACCAAAUUUAAUAAGGUGGUCCGACCACCAAAGGAGAGACAUUUUUCUUUCAUUUCUCACAAUAGCAUAAUUUCAUUUCGG